rnacentral:tRNA from 2 species
AAAAUCCCCAAAAACA